GACGAACGCUGGCGGCACGCCUAACACAUGCAAGUCGAGCGGAGAUUGAGAGCUUGCUCUCAUGAUCAGCGGCGGACGGGUGAGUAACACGUGAGCAACCUGCCUUUCAGAGGGGGACAACAGUUGGAAACGACUGCUAAUACCGCAUAACAUUGCCGAACGGCAUCGUUUGGCAAUCAAAGGAGCAAUCCGCUGAAAGAUGGGCUCGCGUCUGAUUAGAUAGUUGGUGAGGUAACGGCUCACCAAGUCGACGAUCAGUAGCCGGACUGAGAGGUUGAUCGGCCACAUUGGGACUGAGACACGGCCCAGACUCCUACGGGAGGCAGCAGUGGGGAAUAUUGCACAAUGGGGGAAACCCUGAUGCAGCGACGCCGCGUGAGUGAUGAAGUAUUUCGGUAUGUAAAACUCUAUCAGCAGGGAAGAUAAUGACGGUACCUGACUAAGAAGCACCGGCUAAAUACGUG
rnacentral:rRNA from 1 species